UACGUAGGGUGCGAGCGUUGUCCGGAAUUAUUGGGCGUAAAGAGCUCGUAGGCGGUCUGUCGCGUCGGUCGUGAAAACUUGGGGCUUAACCCUGAGCUUGCGGUCGAUACGGGCAUGACUGGAGUUCGGCAGGGGAGACUGGAAUUCCUGGUGUAGCGGUGAAAUGCGCAGAUAUCAGGAGGAACACCGGUGGCGAAGGCGGGUCUCUGGGCCGAUGCUGACGCUGAGGAGCGAAAGCGUGGGGAGCGAACAGG
rnacentral:rRNA from 1 species